rnacentral:rRNA from 1 species
UACGGCGAGUGAAGCGGCAACAGCUCAAAUUUGAAAUCUGGCCCUUACGGGUCCGAGUUGUAAUUUGUAGAGGAUGCUUUUGGCAAGGCGCCGCCCGAGUUCCCUGGAACGGGACGCCACAGAGGGUGAGAGCCCCGUCUGGCUGGCCGCCGAGCCUCUGUAAAGCUCCUUCGACGAGUCGAGUAGUUUGGGAAUGCUGCUCAAAAUGGGAGGUAUAUGUCUUCUAAAGCUAAAUAUUGGCCAGAGACCGAUAGCGCACAAGUAGAGUGAUCGAAAGAUGAAAAGCACCUUGAAAAGAGGGUUAAAUAGUACGUGAAAUUGUUGAAAGGGAAGCGCUUGUGACCAGACUUGGGCGCGGCGGAUCAUCCGGGGUUCUCCCCGGUGCACUUCGCCGCGUCCAGGCCAGCAUCAGUUCGUCGCGGGGGAAAAAGGCUUCGGGAACGUGGCUCCCUCGGGAGUGUUAUAGCCCGUUGCGUAAUACCCUGCGGUGGACUGAGGACCGCGCAUCUGCAAGGAUGCUGGCGUAAUGGUCACCAGCGACCCGUCU